rnacentral:tRNA from 1 species
GGGCGGAUUCCCGAGUGGCCAAAGGGGGCAGACUGUAAAUCUGUUAGCUACGCUUUCGAAGGUUCGAAUCCUUCUCCGCCCACUA